UACGUAGGGGGCAAGCGUUGUCCGGAUUUAUUGGGCGUAAAGAGCGUGUAGGCGGCCAGGUAGGUCCGCUGUGAAAACUCGAGGCUCAACCUCGAGAUGUCGGCGGAAACCAUCUGGCUAGAGUCCGGAAGAGGAGAAUGGAAUUCCUGGUGUAGCGGUGAAAUGCGCAGAUAUCAGGAAGAACACCCGUGGCGAAGGCGGUUCUCUGGGACGGUACUGACGCUGAGACGCGAAAGCGUGGGGAGCGAACGGG
rnacentral:rRNA from 1 species